rnacentral:rRNA from 1 species
UACAUAGGUCUCAAGCGUUGUUCGGAUUCAUUGGGCGUAAAGGGUGUGUAGGUGGCUCGCUAAGUCGGGUGUGAAAUUUCGGAGCUUAACUCCGAAACUGCAUUCGAUACUGGCGUGCUUGAGGACUGGAGAGGAGACUGGAAUUUACGGUGUAGCAGUGAAAUGCGUAGAUAUCGUAAGGAAGACCAGUGGCGAAGGCGGGUCUCUGGACAGUUCCUGACACUGAGACACGAAGGCCAGGGGAGCAAACGGG